rnacentral:tRNA from 1 species
GGAUAGGCGACGACGUAGGAGUGUCGUACCGGUCUGUAAAACCGGCGCUGAUUGAUCAUCGGCAAAGGGGGUUCGAAUCCCUCACUAUCCA